GGAGAGCCCCGCGGGACCGUGGCGGACUGCGGUUCGCCCGCGGGAGCCGCCCACGAACAGCGCUGCAACGUGGGUCCCCGGCUCCUGCCCAGCGCGGGCCGGAGCGUGCGCUCGCCCCUGUGGACGGAGCCUGGAGGAGCGGGGCCGCGGGCGGGCCCUGGAGCAGGGUUGCGGCGUCGGCGGGAGGUCAGCUCCUGUUGCGGCAGGCGUGGCCCGGAGCGCCGGUGAGUCCCGGGAAGGUGGAACCCUCUGGAGCAAACCAGCUGAAGGAGAAUGCGAGUCAGGUAUGAUUAGCGCAGCCCCGAGUUGUUCCCUUGAGAAGCGUGGCCAGGUGAGCAAGUGAGCAAGCGAGCAGAGAGAUAGAAGAAAGACGUCCCCAGACACCCUGAACAGUAACGAUAAUACUGAAAAAGCAGGAUAAUACUGAAGCAGGAUAAAAACAAGGUUUCACGGAAGAUGGCGUAGGUAAGUAUUAGGUGAUAUGCCUGCCUAUCUAAUAACCUAGCUGUAAUUGCUGUACGCAAUGUUUCCAGUUUGCCAUGUAUUGUAUGAUGUAAAGUGCUGUAUUGAGACCUUUUCUUUAAGAAAGGAGGGGAGGAAAAAAAAAAAGCAAAGGGAAAAGAACACGGGAAAGAGAAAAAGAACAUAUAUAAAUGCUUUCGUUGCCUUUCAUUGAGAGUAAAAUGCUAGCUUUCUCUUUGUUACUGAGCUGGAACCAUCGAUAGCAAAUGCUGAUGGAGAGGAAAGCUGGACAAGCAGUCUUUUGGUGAUUAAUACCUAAGGGAUAAAGUGAAUGAAACAAGAAUGGAAAAACGCAGUGGACCUCUGAUAUCCCCAGCAACUGCUGCAGAAGGAGGUGUUCUGCCAUGGGCAAACGAAUUGCCAUGGCUGAAGUUGAAGAGACCAGAAAAACAUAAGCAAGCUGAAGUGAGAAAACCACAUGGAACCAGCUGAGAGCUGUCUCCAUCUCCCGCAAAGGAAAGCCCAUCCUUCCUGAUUAGGAAGGCUCACCAUUACUAGCGAUCGGAAUAAUAGAUCACCGAAGUGUACGGAAGGUUUGUCCGCCUUACAGGCGAGUAUGCCACCUACGUGUAUUUCUGUACGCGUGACUUUGUGUCUACGAGAGAUCCUAUUUUAAAAGCUGCAAGGCAGCAAAUAAUUAUCUUAGGGGAAUGAUAGUCAAGUAGUCAGAGUUACUGAAGAAGGAGAGGGAGGAAGAGAGAGAGAGAGAGAGGGAGAAAGCAUGUGAACUGUAAAAUUAAGAGAUUGUUUUCAGAGGGCUCAGUUAGAGCAACCCCCAGUUAGUUACUGGGCAGUGGUAUUUGGGGAAAGAGGAAGACAGUAGAUAGAGGAAAUGUUAAAGCCUCGUGGAAUUAACUAACACUUCCUGCCCUCAAACUCCCAGGAAAAGGCAAGCCUUUUUCAGUAAUGCUUUCCACAUCUGCUGACUCUGUGGGAGCAGUGCCAUUAGAAAACAGCAGUAAGGGAAAGCAGGUGCCAGUAGCACCAUUCUCACAUCCCCUUUGGGGCCAGAACGCAAAUUCUCUGAGUGUGAGAAAGACCAUUUAGCAGCAAUCUGGGCUGUAACUGUCUUUGAGACUUCUACCUUUGAUAGGACAGAGGCAAUCCAACACGCUCAGGUCCCUCUGUAGUAUUAAUGCCAGGCAUACGACUAGAUAGCAGGGGAUCAUCUCUCCAAGUGGCUCGGUGGGCACUCAUCUUAACGAGCGGAGGGGGUUCUGUGCAAGCGUCGCAAGCAGUGAAUCUUCUUGCGCGUCUGACUGAGGGGCAGAGCACAGUUGCGCCAGAAAUGUGGACGCAGAAGGGUUCCGACAGAUUCCUGUCUAGCGGCUACUUAGUCUAACUUCCCUUUCACAGCACGCCCGAGUGUCCUCACACCUUCCGAAACAGGAGUGGGGGAAGUGGUAUUUGUGGCCUGCGUAUUCCCUGUCUACCUUGCUUGUGUGUGUGUGUUAGAGCUGCUUUUGUGCUUAAAAACAGCUUUAGAUUCUUACGAUUUUCUGCGGAGCUUUGUUUUUUUGUGUCUUUUUUGUGGUUUGUGGGUUUUUUUUUUUUUUGGU